rnacentral:tRNA from 1 species
GCUCUCGUAGCUCAGUUGGAUAGAGCGUGAGCUUGCGGAGCUCAAGGCCACAGGUUCGAAUCCUGUCGAGAGCG